GACGAACGCUGGCGGCGUGCUUAACACAUGCAAGUCGAACGGAGCGAAUGAAAGCUUGCUUUUAUGAGCUUAGUGGCAAACGGGUGAGUAACACGUAGACAACCUGCCGACAGGAUGGGGACAACAUUCCGAAAGGAAUGCUAAUACCGAAUGAAGCGGAGGAGAGGCAUCUCUCCUCCGUGAAAGAUGGCCUCUAUUUAUAAGCUAUCACCUGUCGAUGGGUCUGCGUCUGAUUAGCUAGUUGGUGAGGUAACGGCUCACCAAGGCGACGAUCAGUAGCCGGUCUGAGAGGAUGAACGGCCACAUUGGGACUGAGACACGGCCCAGACUCCUACGGGAGGCAGCAGUGGGGAAUCUUCCGCAAUGGGCGCAAGCCUGACGGAGCAACGCCGCGUGAGUGAAGAAGGUCUUCGGAUCGUAAAGCUCUGUUGAUGGGGACGAAUGUGCGUGAUGCGAAUAGUGUCAUGCAAGACGG
rnacentral:rRNA from 1 species